rnacentral:lncRNA from 1 species
UGUCCUCUGAAGGGGCGGCGCAUGGGCGUCCCCCGCCCUGCUAGCCCCAUCUCCUUCCCUGUCCCUGCUUGGGCAGGAGGCCCAAGCCCUGACAACAGAGGUGAGAGAGGCUGUGCCAGCCCUUCUCUGGGCAUGUCUGGGCUCAAGGGCCAGGCUCUGUCUCCAGUCUAGGGCCAAGCUGGGGCCUGUGGCAGGAUCAGAUAGAGGCAAAACAUUGAUGAGGCAGGGGGACGGACAAAAUGGGCCUUCCAGAGGUGCUCUCAGACCCUCCCAGCCACACUACAGCCGCAGAGCCCUCCGCUCACAAACCAUCCUGGCCUCAUCAGAACCUGGGGAGGGUUCCUAGUUGUGCAGGGGGUUCCCUGUACGUACCCCUUUCCCUCCAGCACUGGAGCCCGAGUCUCCCGCUGAGCAGGCACCUCUCCCUCCACGCCCAGGCUUCUUAAACCAACCCCUCCUCCCCUUGUCAUUCAUGAACCAGAUGCAGAAACUGAGGCUCAGAAGCGUUCGGCCACGUGCAUGCAUUGCCUUUCCCAUUGGUGCUCCAUCGCCAGUAAUGGAUAAGUAAUAAGUAAUAAGGUGCAUUGGAAAUUCAAAUUUCAGAAUAAGCUGACUGCCAAGAGGGCCCUCCCCCUGUCGGGAGUCCCUUAGUCCAUGGGAAAUUCACAGAGAAGGAAACAGUCACUUUUCCUGCACCUGAGAAGGUGAUUCUGACUCUCCUGGAACCUGAGAACCACCAGUCUACGGGAACAGAGCCCUGCUUUGGGUCAGGUGUGUAUAACUAUGGUAUUCCCUUUCUUCUCUGCCUCUAUUGUUGAUGUUGUUUUUUUGUUUUUUGUUUUUUUUUGAAACGGAGUCUCGCUGUUGCCCAGGCUGGAGUGCAGUGGCGCAAUCUCGGCUCACUACAAUCUCCGCCUCUGGGGUUCACGCCAUUCUCCUGCCUCAGCCUCCCGAGUAGCUGGUAAGGGAGGAGACCACCCCUCACAUUGUCUUAUGCCCAAUUUCUGCCUCCAAAGAAAGAAGUAAAAACUAAAAGGCAGAAAUGAAAUCCACAGGCAGACAGCCCGGCGCUGCACCCUGGGCCUGGUAGUUAAAGAUCGACCCCUGACCUAAUCAGUUAUGUUGUCUAUAGAUUACAGACAUUGUAUAGAAAUGCACUGUGAAAAUCCCUAUCUGUUUUGUUCCGAUCUAGUUACCAGUGCAUGCAGACCCCAGUCACGUACCCCUUGCUUGCUCAAUCAAUCCCGACCCCCUCACACGCACCCUCCUUAGAGUUGUGAGCCCUUAAAAGGGAUAGGAAUUGCUCACUCGGGGAGCUCGGCUCUCGAGACAGGAGUCUUGCCGAUGCCCCCAGCCGAUUAAACCCCUUCCUUCAACUCGGUGUCUGAGGAGUUUUGUCUGCAGCUCGUCCUGCUACACUGGGACUACAGGCGCUCGCCACCACG